UACGUAGGGGGCAAGCGUUGUCCGGAAUCAUUGGGCGUAAAGGGCGUGUAGGCGGUCAUGUAAGUGGGAUGUGAAAGCCCUCGGCUCACCCGAGGAUCUGCAUCUCAAACUGCAUGGCUUGAGUAUGGGAGAGGAUGAGGGAAUUCCUGGUGUAGCGGUGAAAUGCGUAGAUAUCAGGAGGAACACCGGUGGCGAAGGCGAUCAUCUGGCCCAAUACUGACGCUGAGGCGCGAAAGCUAGGGGAGCAAACGGG
rnacentral:rRNA from 1 species